rnacentral:rRNA from 1 species
UUAGUUAAGUGAAUAAGGGCGCACGGUGGAUGCCUUGGUACUAGGAGCCGAAGAAGGACGGGACUAACACCGAUAUGUCCCGGGGAGUCGUAAGUAGACGUCGAUCCGGGAAUUUCCGAAUGGGGGAACCCACUGCUCGUAAUGGAGUAGUACUUUUAUCUGAAUUCAUAGGAUAGAAGAGGCAUACCCGGGGAACUGAAACAUCUCAGUACCCGGAGGAAGAGAAAGCAAAUGCGAUUUCCCAAGUAGCGGCGAGCGAAACGGAAACAGCCCAAACCAGAAGGCUUGCCUUCUGGGGUUGUAGGACACUCCAUAGGAGUUAACAAGAGAUUCUUUAGAUGAAGCGAUCUGGAAAGGUCAGCCAAAGAAGGUAACAGCCCUGUAAUCGAAAAGGAAUCUCCUCCGGAGUGUAUCCUGAGUACGGCGGAACACGAGGAAUUCCGUCGGAAUCCGGGAGGACCAUCUCCCAAGGCUAAAUACUCCCUAGUGACCGAUAGUGAACCAGUA